rnacentral:rRNA from 1 species
UGUGACGAGUUUGAUCAUGGCUCAGAACGAACGCUGGCGGCAGGCCUAACACAUGCAAGUCGAGCGAACCCUUCGGGGUUAGCGGCGGACGGGUUAGUAACGCGUGGGAAUAUACCCUUUGGUACGGAAUAGCCUCGGGAAACUGAGAGUAAUACCGUAUGUGCCCUUCGGGGAAAGAUUUAUCGCCAAAGGAUUAGCCCGCGUUGGAUUAGAUAGUUGGUGGGGUAAUGGCCUACCAAGUCUACGAUCCAUAGCUGGUUUGAGAGGAUGAUCAGCAACACUGGGACUGAGACACGGCCCAGACUCCUACGGGAGGCAGCAGUGGGGAAUCUUAGACAAUGGGCGCAAGCCUGAUCUAGCCAUGCCGCGUGGACGAUGAAGGCCUUAGGGUUGUAAAGUCCUUUCAGAUGGGAAGAUAAUGACGGUACCAUCAGAAGAAGCCCCGGCUAACUCCGUG